GCGCCCGUAGCUCAGCUGGAUAGAGCGUUGGAUUCCGGUUCCAAAGGUCGAGGGUUCAAAUCCCUCCGGGCGUACUA
rnacentral:tRNA from 1 species